rnacentral:rRNA from 1 species
GAUGAACGCUGGCGGCGUGCCUAAUACAUGCAAGUCGAGCGAACAGACGAGGAGCUUGCUCCUCUGACGUUAGCGGCGGAAGGGUGAGUAACACGUGGAUAACCUACCUAUAAGACUGGGAUAACUUCGGGAAACCGGAGCUAAUACCGGAUAAUAUAUUGAACCGCAUGGUUCAAUAGUGAAAGACGGUUUUGCUGUCACUUAUAGAUGGAUCCGCGCCGCAUUAGCUAGUUGGUAAGGUAACGGCUUACCAAGGCAAGCUUGCGUAGCCGACCUGUGAGGGUGAUCCGCCCCGCGGGGGCGAAGCGCCGGCCCGGGCCCGUACGGAGGGCCAGGGUGCGAAGGGUGGCAGAAUGGGGGAAAGCUGGACGAAGGGCGGCAGCCUGAUUGAGGAAGGCCUCGGGCGGGAAAAACUCUGUUAUGUUGGAAAACCAAUUGUGAAGGUACGAAUCAUGUUGUGACGGUACCUGAAUAAGAAGCCCCGGCUAACUACGUG